rnacentral:tRNA from 1 species
GCCGGGAUGGCGGAAUUGGUAGACGCCCAGGACUUAAAAUCCUGUGCCGAGCAAUCGGCGUGCCGGUUCAAUCCCGGUUCCCGGCA